UACGUAGGUCCCGAGCGUUGUCCGGAUUUAUUGGGCGUAAAGCGAGCGCAGGUGGUUUAUUAAGUCUGGUGUAAAAGGCAGUGGCUCAACCAUUGUAUGCAUUGGAAACUGGCAGACUUGAGUUGGCGAGAAGUACGCGGAAUGCGCGGUGUAGCGGUGAAAUGCAUAGAUAUCGCGCAGAACUCCGAUUGCGAAGGCAGCGUACCGGCGCCAGACUGACGCUGAGGCACGAAAGCGUGGGGAUCGAACAGG
rnacentral:rRNA from 1 species